UCCGGAUUUAUUGGGCGUNAAGAGCUUGUAGGUGGUUUGUCGCGUCGGGAGUGAAAACUCAGGGCUUAACUNUGAGCUUGCUUUCGAUACGGGCUGACUUGAGGGAGGUAGGGGAGAAUGGAAUUCCUGGUGGAGCGGUGGAAUGCGCAGAUAUCAGGAGGAACACCGGUGGCGAAGGCGGUUCUCUGGACCUUUCCUGACGCUGAGAAGCGAAAGCGUGGGGAGCGAUCAGGCUUAGAUACCCUGGUAGUCCACGCUGUAAACGGUGGGUACUAGGUGUGGGGGACAUUCCACGUUCUCCGUGCCGUAGCUAACGCAUUAAGUACCCCGCCUGGGGAGUACGGCCGCAAGGCUAAAACUCAAAGGAAUUGACGGGGCCCCGCACAAGCGGCGGAGCAUGCGGAUUAAUUCGAUGCAACGCGAAGAACCUUACCUGGGUUUGACAUAUGCCGGGAGCGUUCAGAGAUGGGCGUGCCUUUUUGGUCGGUUUACAGGUGGUGCAUGGCUGUCGUCAGCUCGUGUCGUGAGAUGUUGGGUUAAGUCCCGCAACGAGCGCAACCCUCGUCCAAUGUUGCCAGCGGGUUAUGCCGGGGACUCAUUGGAGACCGCCGGGGUCAACUCGGAGGAAGGUGGGGAUGACGUCAAGUCAUCAUGCCCCUUAUGUCCAGGGCUUCACGCAUGCUACAAUGGCCGGUACAGUGAGCUGCGAGCCUGUGAGGGUGAGCGAAUCUCUAAAAGCCGGUCUCAGUUCGGAUUGGGGUCUGCAACUCGACCCCAUGAAGUCGGAGUCGCUAGUAAUCGCAGAUCAGCAACGCUGCGGUGAAUACGUUCCCGGGGCUUGUACACACCGCCCGUCAAGUCAUGAAAGUCGGUAACACCCGAAGCCGGUG
rnacentral:rRNA from 1 species